UACGUAGGGACCAAGCGUUGUUCGGAUUUACUGGGCGUAAAGGGCGCGUAGGCGGCGUGUUAAGUCAGUUGUGAAAUCUCCAAGCUUAACUUGGAACGGUCAACUGAUACUGAUGUGCUAGAGUGCAGAAGGGGCAACCGGAAUUCUUGGUGUAGCGGUGAAAUGCGUAGAUAUCAAGAGGAACACCUGAGGUGAAGACGGGUUGCUGGGCUGAUACUGACGCUGAGGCGCGAAAGCCAGGGGAGCAAACGGG
rnacentral:rRNA from 1 species